rnacentral:lncRNA from 1 species
CGGUUAGUAAACCAAAAACAAUACUAAACCAACAUGAACCAAUACCUGAUUCGGCGAGGAAGGAAGUGUUUCGGGAUAAACGCUUGAAUGGUUACUAACUGAAAUGGUUUGGUCAUGAGAGAGUUAGUAUGAAUAUUAACAAUAAAAUUAUGGAUUAGAUUAAUUUAAAUUUGUAAGAAUACCUUUGAGUCUAUGAAAAGCAAUUCAAUUCCCAUG